AUCACAGGAAGAGGCUUGGUGGCUACAGAAAGACAGAAAGAUGCCUGACCUGCUUCCAGCUGCUUCAGCCCCCCCACUGUCCCAUCUCCAGACACGUCAAACUGCAACUGGAUGACAGACAUUAAGCUGGAACUUUGCAGGUAUUUGCGUACAUCAACGUCAAAAGCGUGAUUUGAAACAUUCUGUUGAACAAAUUCCAUGAAUAAUAGGACUUGGUCCAGGCUCCUAACCAUCUUUCAUCCUUGGGUGUAUCCAUCGGCCUAGGAACACCUAACACCACGUGAUGUUUAAUCCUACAGCAAACCAUCGACACUUUCAGCUUGAAUGAUCAUGUAUCACUUAGUUUUCAAGUUUAAUUCAAGUGCAUCUACCUCUUCUCCACUGUUGACACCAGAAAACUCCCUUCCAUAUGCCCUUGUGGAACUCACUAUACUUCGUUCAACAAACGUUCAGUGACUACCUGCUAUGUGUCCAGAAUAAAUUAAGAAUACAGU
rnacentral:lncRNA from 1 species